CUUUCUCUCUUCUGAUUUUGCUCUCUCAUGAUCCGUUUACUGGGAAUGUUUUCCCCAUUUCAGUUUUUAACCCUAGCUUCUUUCCUCUCUCUCCUCCGCCCCCUCGCAACAAAAUUCAUCGACUUUGGUGAAGCACAUCAAAUGGCGACGAAAGGAUGCCGGAUUUGAAGUAUCUACGGUGGUUGUUGUUCCAUCUCCUCAUAAUUCACACCCAUUCAAUGCAUCAACAAUCAGUCUGCAUCGGUCGGGAGAAAUAACAAAUCAAGUCUGCAAAUACAAAGCAAAUAAGGAUUCCAUCGGUUUAUGACGAUCGAAGGGCACAUUCGAGGAUUUUGAGGAGUCUGAGUAUCGCAAGGUGUUUCAGAAGUCUUAAUAUCUGGUUCAAUUGGCAUGGUGGUGUAUCUGGUGAUCAGAUAUCCUAUCGUCAUGGUAGUAGAGAAUGUGGCUCUAAGGCGCAUCUAAGGAGAGCCUUCUGUCAAUGGUCCAAUCAAUGAAUAUCAUUGUGAGUUGAACCUGCCCCUGGUGUUGAUCUUGAAGGCCUUGAAGUUGCCAAAGAUUGUUUAACAGAAGUCUUCAGACUUCAUCUACUGCCUGAGAAUAAGAAGAUCGGAUUACUGCAGCUCUUGAACAACUUCAUUGGCGGCUUUGGGUAAUUAAAACUCCAGGCUAAAGGUGAAGAUGAAUAGGAGGACGGCGAUCUGAUUAGGAAUAAUGACGAGGGUGGCUAAGUCGACAGUAGCAAGGAGUUUUGGGGCCAAAUUACUAGCUAACGCAUGUGUUGCAUGAGAUAACAAGAUCAAGAAGGCUGCUCAGGGAGUGGUGGGAAAGGAAGUGUGGUACCAAAGUCACCCACGAAGAGGGAAGUGUUGACCACACAACCUAAAGUAGUGGAAGUGAUAGAGAUGAAUUAUAACAGGAGAAGUCGGUGCCUCAUGAUGAAGAAGGUUCCUACUGUGGGAUGUAUAUAUACACUGCUAGGAGCAAGGUUUAAUUCUAGACUAAUUUCCUAUUAUAAUUGAGUUUUUUCUUUGAAUGUUAGUGGUGUAAUAAAAGAACUAUUGUAUGUCAUUUUUCAUUAACUGUUUUUGACGGGGUUUUAGACUACUUAUUGUAUGAGUAACAAGCCAAAGGAACCAGUAGUUGACAUUUAUGUUAUUGAUGUUGAUAUUGAGUUAGUUGA